GGUCUUCGUCUUCGAGACUUUCAUGGAUUUAUGUUGAUUUGUUUUGAUAAACAAAAAAAGGGGUCUACGACGAGUGCGUGUUGUUGCUCAGGUGAGUGAUACCAAGGAGAAGGUGAAGUAGAAUGAGGAGAGUGGAAAUGAAGCCUUGGUAGCGGCAUUGCUUCAGAUGAAGGGAAGCUUCUGCCCAAUCCCAAUGCACAAAUUGAUGAACAUGAAUCCCACAAGGCUGCCAAUGAGCUCUAUGCCAUUGGAAGGUACCCCGAUUUGAUGACUUGCCUCAGAAGAGUAAUACAGGCAGUGAUUGUAACAAUGACAACAAGAAUAUUUCCACGUCAUCUUGAGACUGCUGAAUCAGAUUUUGCAGCUGCCAAAACUGAACGUUGUCAAGUAGUGCCUGAUGCCUGGAAUUAAAACCUCCUAAGUUUUAUGGAAAGGGUCUAAAUUGCCUUAGGUAAAUUUUCCUGAUCAUUUACCUUCAUAUUAUUUUCUUCAUAAUUAGUAUAUAUGUUGGAACACAUUUUUAGUUUGGACUAAUGUAUAUCAACAUUAUACUGGGAUAACAUUGUGGAGAGCUGUCUAGAUUGGGUGGCUAUGACAAGGUGUGCUUUUUUUCCACUGAAUGAAGUUACCAUUUUCACAUGCAUUAUUAAUCCAGUGCUAUAUUUUGAAUUACCAUUGUUUUUUGUUUGUUGAAGCUAAUCACACUGGAGCAAUUGUCAAUACCAAUGUAUAGUAACUUGUUAAAAAAAUGCCAACCUACUAGUAAUUUUGGGAAUGGCUUUUUCUUCAACUUUUGUCGUCAAAGAGUAGCUCGGAUUAUUGGAUGUAUUAGUAGUUCUUUUGAUUUCAAGAAGUAAAGUCACAGCUUUGGCAAUGAAAACAAUUCAAAUAUGUUAAGUACAUUCUGGUGAUGAUGUUUUCUGGUUGCAAUUUGUCACAGGACCUAUGUUAGAAAACUUCUUUGACCCUCCUUGCUAUAUGCAUCUUUUAACAUUUAACAUGCUUUACAAACUUUUCUAUUCCUGAUUACUUGGCCAACACGUAGCAGAGAUAUUGUCAAAUUUGAUUCUUUGUAACUAAAAAUUGUAUAAUGGUUUACAUAUAAUAUCAUAAUGAAGAGGAUAUUUACAGAAAUAAGUGAACUGAUGCUCUAAAAUAGUACAAUCAUGACAAUAUGUUUUUUAUUUUAGGUGUUUUCGAAGUAAUUAACUAUAUACCUUUUUCAAUCUGUAGGUACCAUUUUCAGUGUGUGUCUGUGUAGGGUGCUUCCAAAUAUCAAUCUAUCAUUGAACUUCAGAAUUUGACUUGUACUUUUUCUUCAUAUUCUUUCCAUUUUAGGUGUGCCCGUUCACAUACUCCAUGAGUAAUUGUGUUGCACACCCUUGUGGCGAACUUUAUAUUAUAUUACUUGCCCAAAAAAGAAAGAAACAAGCUAUAUAUUAUCAAAAUAAAAAGGUUAAAACUAAGAAAAUAUGCAAGAAAGGUGGAUGCAUUAUUUCCAAUUAUCCAUUAUUAAUCUAAAAAUUCAAUGCAAGUAAAGUUCACUAAAACAAGGUCCAAGGACACAAAAAUUUAAGUUAGGGUUUGUUUCUUGGUAUGUUCUGAUGCCUAUAGAAUUAUGUGCUAUGAGUUAAUUUUCCACACUACUAUUGAAUUAUGACUUAUGAGCCAUUAUUGCAGUUUUCCUCAUUCUUUAGGUAGUUGCUGAAAAUGAUACAUUAUUGUCUUCUCUUUAUGGUUAGUUGACCUCUUGUAAGUUGUGCAACAAGUGGGAGUCUUUCAAACCCCCAAAGUAAGAAACAUGACAUUUGAUCUUGUUUAUCACUAUUGUCCUAUUUUUUCCAUGCCAUUACCAAUAUUGUUAUAAUCUCAUAUACAUGAACUCCAUUAAUUACACAUUGCAAACCAUUUUUUCCUGUUCUUAAUAGUGUAGAUAUUUUCUUCUUGUAUAAAGUAUCCAUAAAUACUCUUAUCCUUUAAUCUGUGAACUUUGAGGACAAGUGAAUCAUUUAACUAGUCACAUGUUAUGUCAAGCAACAAAGUCCCUUUCAACAAGAUUGUGGAAAGAAAAAAAUGAAAAAAAAAAAAAAA